rnacentral:rRNA from 1 species
UACGUAGGGCGCAAGCGUUAUCCGGAAUUAUUGGGCGUAAAGAGCUCGUAGGCGGUUUGUCGCGUCUGCUGUGAAAUCCCGAGGCUCAACCUCGGGUCUGCAGUGGGUACGGGCAGACUAGAGUGCGGUAGGGGAGAUUGGAAUUCCUGGUGUAGCGGUGGAAUGCGCAGAUAUCAGGAGGAACACCGAUGGCGAAGGCAGAUCUCUGGGCCGUAACUGACGCUGAGGAGCGAAAGGGUGGGGAGCAAACAGGCUUAGAUACCCUGGUAGUCCACCCCGUAAACGUUGGGAACUAGUUGUGGGGUCCAUUCCACGGAUUCCGUGACGCAGCUAACGCAUUAAGUUCCCCGCCUGGGGAGUACGGCCGCAAGGCUAAAACUCAAAGGAAUUGACGGGGACCCGCACAAGCGGCGGAGCAUGCGGAUUAAUUCGAUGCAACGCGAAGAACCUUACCAAGGCUUGACAUACACGAGAACGCCGCAGAAAUGUGGAACUCUUUGGACACUCGUGAACAGGUGGUGCAUGGUUGUCGUCAGCUCGUGUCGUGAGAUGUUGGGUUAAGUCCCGCAACGAGCGCAACCCUCGUUCUAUGUUGCCAGCACGUAAUGGUGGGAACUCAUGGGAUACUGCCGGGGUCAACUCGGAGGAAGGUGGGGAUGACGUCAAAUCAUCAUGCCCCUUAUGUCUUGGGCUUCACGCAUGCUACAAUGGCCGGUACAAAGGGCUGCGAUACCGUAAGGUGGAGCGAAUCCCAAAAAGCCGGUCCCAGUUCGGAUUGAGGUCUGCAACUCGACCUCAUGAAGUCGGAGUCGCUAGUAAUCGCAGAUCAGCAACGCUGCGGUGAAUACGUUCCCGGGUCU